ACACUGCUGAGGAGUCCCACAAUAGGACGAAACGGCCGUCCAAUUU
rnacentral:hammerhead_ribozyme from 1 species